rnacentral:rRNA from 1 species
CCUACGGGAUGCAGCAGUGAGGAAUAUUGGUCAAUGGCCGGAAGGCUGAACCAGCCAAGCCGCGUGAAGGACGAAGGUGCCAAGCAUUGUAAACUUCUUUUGUCAAGGUACAAAAUCAGGCUCGAGAGCCUGACCGAGGGGACUUGCAGAAAAAGCAUAGGCUAACUCCGUGCCAGCAGCCGCGGUAAUCCGGAGGAGGCGAGCGUUAUCCGGAUUUAUUGGGUUAAAGGGGGGCGUAGGAGGACUGUUAAGUCAGCGGUAAAAGCCCGGGGCUAAACCCCGGCGAGCCGUUGAAACUGGCUGUCUUGAGAUGUCGAGAGGUAUGCGGAAUGCGCAGUGUAGCGGUGAAAUGCUUAGAGAUCAUACAGAACACCGAUUGCGAAGGCAGCUUACCAAACUAUAUCUGACGUUGAGGCACGAAAGCGUGGGUAGCAAACAGGAUUAGAUACCCCUGUAGUC